CAGAUCAGAGAGCAUUCUACGUAUGUUGCAGGAAAAAUCCACAGGCCUUCAUGCCUCUGACAAGCCCAGAAGAGGUGGAAAAAACUAUGUCAGCAAGGUUAAUUUUGCACCUAUUGACAUAAAUAUGAGGGCAGGAGAAAGCAGAACAGUGUUCUUUUUCCCCUUUAAUUCUUAUUAGUGCAAGCCCAGCAGGGCUUUGAGCUUUUUGAAGGCUCCAACAUCAAAGUUCCUUACCCAUCACAGAACUGAGGGUACAAGGUGAUGUACGUAAGCAGUUUAGCUUUUGAGGUAUUCAAAAUUUGAGGUAAUGGAAUUAUACCAGUCUACAACAUCACAAAGAUUUAGUUAAUAAUAAAAAUAUAAUGUACUACAAGAAUACUAGUAUCUGCACCAUCCAGCCACAUCAAAUGCCAGUUAUAUAGCUGACUAGCAUUCAGUCUUGACAACACAGCAGAAAACAGGCAGCUGACAUCUCUAAAUCAUUGCAGUUACCUUAAAAUAAUGAUUGUUUUCAUCUCCACAAGUACUUAUCUUAAUGUGCGUGUUUGAGACCUGAGAGAACAAUAAUUCUACAUUAAACACAUUUAUCUUUGUUUUUAGCGUUCCAGCAACUUGAAUAUCCAAAAAUGCACUACUGAUAUGAUCCAAGAAACAUUCUUCUCACCACAGAUUUCAAAUUCACAGAAAUAUUUGUACAAAGAUACGUGCUCAAAAUGUACUGGGAAACAAAAAUGUCAUUGGCAUAUUCCAUAUGUAAACGUAACUGAAGAAACAGACAUGAAAGUGAAGAAGCACUUAAAGCAUCAAAUGUACUUUCGCUUUGCUAAAAGACUGAACCGCUCUUCAAGCAGUAAAAGACACCUAUACAAUACAGAGGCACUAAUCAAGAA